GACGUAGGUGGCGAACGUUAUCCGGAAUUACUGGGCGUAAAGGGCGCGUAGGCGGCACGACAAGUCGGGAGUGAAAGCCCGGGGCUCAACCCCGGAGGGUCUCUCGAUACUGUCGAGCUAGAGUGCGGAAGAGGCAACCGGAAUUCUCAGUGUAGCGGUGAAAUGCGUAGAUAUUGAGAAGAACACCAGAGGCGAAGGCGGGUUGCUGGGCCGACACUGACGCUGAGGCGCGAAAGCCAGGGGAGCAAACGGG
rnacentral:rRNA from 1 species